GUCCUUUGUCUGGAAGAGGUGUUUAGUUGUAUCAAUGAGCCCUGCUGCUAUCUGAUAUGUGGUGACCUACCUCUCUUGAGGAUACAGGAAAAAGAAGAAAUGGAGGUGAAGCAACAAGAUGGAAUAGGGUGAGACACAUGGGAUUUGCUGUGCCUGAAAGUGUUGCCACAGGGAAAAUAAUGCGUAUGGCUUAGGAACUGUGUAACAGGUUGUUGCUUAGGUGGAAGCUCUACAGGUGAAAGCCUGCCUCUGAAACAUGUUGAAACAGAUGUGUAGCCACUUUAUACUGUGUACACCACUCUGAAAACUCUUUGACUGUAUGCUUAAAAUAGGUAUGUGAAUAUAUUAAAUAAACCAUUUGCUACUAGA